CGGACCGGCGCACGGGUGAGUAACACGUAUGCGACCUGCCCGUAGCAGGGGAUAAGCGGAAGAAAUUCCGUCUAAUACCGCGUAAUAUCUUUCGGGGGCAUCCCUGAGGGAUUAAAGGAAGUGAUUCCGGCUACGGAUGGGCAUGCGGCGCAUUAGCUAGUCGGCGGGGUAACGGCCCACCGAGGCGACGAUGCGUAGGGGUUCUGAGAGGAAGGUCCCCCACACUGGUACUGAGACACGGACCAGACUCCUACGGGAGGCAGCAG
rnacentral:rRNA from 1 species